rnacentral:rRNA from 1 species
UACGUAGGGUGCGAGCGUUGUCCGGAAUUAUUGGGCGUAAAGGGCUCGUAGGCGGCUUGUCGCGUCGGGAGUGAAAAUCCAGGGCUUAACUCUGGACUGGCUUUCGAUACGGGCAGACUAGAGGUAUGCAGGGGAGAACGGAAUUCCUGGUGUAGCGGUGAAAUGCGCAGAUAUCAGGAGGAACACCGGUGGCGAAGGCGGUUCUCUGGGCAUUACCUGACGCUGAGGAGCGAAAGUGUGGGGAGCGAACAGG